rnacentral:rRNA from 1 species
UAAGGACAAGCUGUGAUGGGGAGCGAAAUUUAGUAGCGAAGUUCCUGAUGUCACACUGCCAAGAGAAGCUUCUAGUGAGAAAGUAACUGCCCGUACCGCAAACCGACACAGGUAGUUGAGGAGAGAAUCCUAAGGUGUGCGAGAGAACUCUCGUUAAGGAACUCGGCAAAAUGACCCCGUAACUUCGGGAGAAGGGGUGCUGACCGCAAGGUCAGCCGCAGUGAAUAGGCCCAAGCGACUGUUUAUCAAAAACACAGGUCUCUGCAAAAUCGAAAGAUGACGUAUAGGGGCUGACGCCUGCCCGGUGCUGGAAGGUUAAGAGGAGAGGUUAGCGCAAGCGAAGCUUUGAAUUGAAGCCCCAGUAAACGGCGGCCGUAACAAUAACGGUCCUAAGGUAGCGAAAUUCCUUGUCGGGUAAGUUCCGACCCGCACGAAAGGCGUAACGAUUUGGGCACUGUCUCAACGAGAGACUCGGUGAAAUUAUAGUACCAGUGAAGAUGCUGGUUACCCGCGACAGGACGGAAAGACCCCAUGGAGCUUUACUGCAGUUUGAUAUUGCGUGUUUGUAUCACAUGUACAGGAUAGGUAGGAGCCGAAGAUACCGGGACGCCAGUCUCGGAGGAGGCAACGGUGGGAUACUACCCUUGUGAUAUGACCACUCUAACCCGCUGCUCUUAGCGAGCAGGGAGACAGUGUCAGACGGGCAGUUUGACUGGGGCGGUCGCCUCCAAAAAUGUAACGGAGGCGCCCAAAGGUUCCCUCAGAAUGGUUGGAAAUCAUUCGUAGAGUGUAAAGGCAGAAGGGAGCUUGACUGCGAGACCUACAAGUCGAGCAGGGACGAAAGUCGGGCUUAGUGAUCCGGUGGUUCCGCAUGGAAGGGCCAUCGCUCAACGGAUAAAAGCUACCCUGGGGAUAACAUGCUUAUCUCCCCCAAGAGUUCACAUCGACGGGGAGGUUUGGCACCUCGAUGUCGGCUCAUCGCAUCCUGGGGCUGUAGUCGGUCCCAAGGGUUGGGCUGUUCGCCCAUUAAAGCGGUACGCGAGCUGGGUUCAGAACGUCGUGAGACAGUUCGGUCCCUAUCCGUCGCGGGCGUUGGAAAUUUGAGAGGAGCUGUCCUUAGUACGAGAGGACCGGGAUGGACACACCGCUGGUGUACCAGUUGUUCUGCCAAGAGCAUCGCUGGGUAGCUAUGUGUGGACGGGAUAAACGCUGAAAGCAUCUAAGCGUGAAGCCCCCCUCAAGAUGAGAUUUCCCAUCACUUUAAGUGAGUAAGACCCCUGAGAGAUGAUCAGGUAGAUAGGUUGGGAGUGGAAGUACAGCGAUGUAUGGAGCGGACCAAUACUAAUCGGUCGAGGACUUAACC